CGUAGAGUUCUUCCAGGUCUUCAGGAAGAAUGGAGACUUCUGGGAUAACAACUCGGAGCUUGAGGAAACAACCAACAACAGUGGGGAGGUGCUGGACCACAGGGGAAAUGCAGAUUCCAAUGGGCCACAGAAAAGGAAGACACCAGGUAACUCACUCCAACCUUUCGGCAGAACGGUACAGAGAUUACACCUGUUGGUUCUGCACAUUCAAGAGCCAAACAGCGUUUGUACUGGGGAUUUCUGGACAAGGACUGAUGU